GAUUUUUAUAAAGGUGUCAGGUUCGCCAUUACAGAUUGAACUGCUCGUUCUAUUCUUUACCCCCUUCUCACUACUGCACUUGACUAGUCUUUA
rnacentral:Y_RNA from 1 species